rnacentral:rRNA from 1 species
GAUGAACGCUAGCGGCAGGCCUAACACAUGCAAGUCGAGGGGCAGCACAAAAGGUAGCUUGCUAUCUUUGGUGGCGACCGGCGCACGGGUGCGUAACGCGUAUGCAACCUACCCAUAACAGGGGGAUAACACUGAGAAAUUGGUACUAAUACCCCAUAAUAUUUUGGAAGGCAUCUUCUAAAGUUGAAAACUCCGGUGGUUAUGGAUGGGCAUGCGUUGUAUUAGCUAGUUGGUAAGGUAACGGCUCACCAAGGCGACGAUACAUAGGGGGACUGAGAGGUUAACCCCCCACAUUGGUACUGAGACACGGACCAAACUCCUACGGGAGGCAGCAGUGAGGAAUAUUGGUCAAUGGACGCAAGUCUGAACCAGCCAUGCCGCGUGCAGGAAGACGGCUCUAUGAGUUGUAAACUGCUUUUGUAUGAGGGUAAACGCAGAUACGUGUAUCUGUCUGAAAGUAUCAUACGAAUAAGGAUCGGCUAACACCGUGCCAGCAGCCGCCGUAAAAC